CUACAUAAAGCURGGCGAGGUCGUUAUUAAUCGAAGUUUGUUAUUUGAUCUUUAUAUACACGAGAAAAGAAGAACUCAAAAUGAAGGGAGUAUUGAUUGUAGCGUGUUUGGUGCUUGUGGCAUCGACUUGUCUUCAAGCCAUGCCWGCRGAGAACCAAGAAUUUUGCAGCUCUGAUUAUGACCUGGCGUACUGCGGAAAGUCUUGCAAUCGCGGCGAUUGUACMAGCAGUGGAAAAAGAGACUGUGAAGACGGAUUGAUGUGUUGUGUGUGCCCGAUGUGAACAAACAGAAUCUUCCCUUCAAGGGYGGAGUUGGGCAGUGUUUUAAAUCUAUAAUCGUCAUAUGUGUWAACCUGAAUAAACAGUAGUUUGUUCUCAUAAAA